rnacentral:rRNA from 2 species
ACGACGACGUUGAUAGGUCGGGUGUGUAAGUGUAGCGAUACAUUGAGCUAACCGAUACUAAUGAACCGUGAGGCUUAACCUU